rnacentral:lncRNA from 1 species
AUUUGAAAAGUUGUGGUUUUUUUGGUCAUUUUCAAAAGGUGUAGGUUGCUAUUACACACCUUCAUAAAAAUUAAAGGGUAGCAUUGCCCUAUAUAUAUAUAUAUAUAUAUAUAAAAGGAAAGCCGAAUGAAAUUUUAUAAGAGAAGCAAGACUUUUUACACUACGAUCCCAUCUUGUAACACAAGAGAGAAGAAAAUUAUUAUUCAAAAGAGGGGAGUAUAAUUUACUAAAACAAAUAUAAGUGUGAAAGAAACCAUAAGAGCAGCAACAUAAUUUUAUUUUUAUUUUAAUUAACUUUUACAGCAUCUUUAUAAAUAUGUAUACAUUCACAAGCUAGCCACUAAUUUUGUGUGCUGUGACCUUCCCAACACAUGCACAAAUCCCAAACUCGGUCCUUAAAAAGUCGGGCUCCGUAACCCAAAAGAUGCAUAUUGGAAUAUCGCCAGCUUCGACACAUAGAUGAUGUUGACAAUCCAUGUUAUUUCGGCACGUAGCUAACAAGAAAUAAAGAUCGUUAUCAAAAUGAUGGUGAAACAAUUUGAAUAAGAAAAUUUAAAGGUAAAAAUUAUUAGGAAUCUUUAUAUACAUAUAUCAAAUUUGGACAAAAAUCAUUUAAAAUUAAUUUAUUUUAAUAAAAAUUAGGGUAAAACAAGUUUUUGAAAAAUCAUAUAAAUAUUCUCAAAUUUCAUUUUUAGUUUAUAUAAAAAAUUUCAGCAAGUUUUGAUCUCCCAAAUAUUUUCUUUCAUAACUUUUGAUUCCUAUUUUUAAGUCCACUCAUGUAUACUUUAAUAUUUUUGAAUGAGUGUUUUGUAUUUAUGUUUAUAAUAAUAUAAAAUUCUCUCCCACAAUAA